rnacentral:tRNA from 1 species
GCGGACGUGGUGGAAUUGGUAGACACGCCAGAUUUAGGUUCUGGUGGUGAUUGUGCCGUGGGGGUUCGAGUCCCUCCGCCCGCA